rnacentral:rRNA from 1 species
AUGAACGCUGGCGGCGUGCCUAAUACAUGCAAGUCGAGCGAACGGACGAGAAGCUUGCUUCUCUGAUGUUAGCGGCGGACGGGUGAGUAACACGUGGAUAACCUACCUAUAAGACUGGGAUAACUUCGGGAAACCGGAGCUAAUACCGGAUAAUAUUUUGAACCGCAUGGUUCAAAAGUGAAAGACGGUCUUGCUGUCACUUAUAGAUGGAUCCGCGCUGCAUUAGCUAGUUGGUAAGGUACGGCUUACCAAGGCAACGAUGCAUAGCCGACCUGAGAGGGUGAUCGGCCACACUGGAACUGAGACACGGUCCAGACUCCUACGGGAGGCAGCAGUAGGGAAUCUUCCGCAAUGGGCGAAAGCCUGACGGAGCAACGCCGCGUGAGUGAUGAAGGUCUUCGGAUCGUAAAACUCUGUUAUUAGGGAAGAACAUAUGUGUAAGUAACUGUGCACAUCUUGACGGUACCUAAUCAGAAAGCCACGGCUAACUACGUG